AGCCCAGGACCAGAGUGUGAGAGUGGCUACUAGGAUAAGGGUUUUGUGGCGUGACCUCCUGUGUGACUCCCGGUGCAAGACAGACAGAGAGUUUGAAGACACUGAACUCUAAUCUGUUAUUGUAUAUUUGGGAUUAUUUGAAGACCCUAAGAUGUUUAUAUAUUUUACAUGGUCAUAGUAUUCAACACAGGUCAUUUCAAGAUGCUGAGAUGCUUAACCCGGUAGCAGUGACAGGUCAAAUUUGUGCCAUGAUAUAAACCCUCCAAAAUAGAUGAUGCAUACUGAUCACAAAUGUGUUGAUAUAUAUUAUGAAAUGGUUUGUGUGAGUGGUGAUUUUUUUUCUCAUUUUUCUCGCCUUUAUGAAACAUGAUCCCCGCUGCUACCAGGUUAAGAAUGGACUUUAAACUGUUAUUGUACAAGAAAUUAUUUGAAGACCCUAAAAUGUUUAUAUACUUUACACUGUCAUAGUAUUCAACAGAGGCCAUUUCAAGAUGCUGAGAUGCUUAAGAAUGGACUGUUAUUGUACUUGAGAUUAUUUGAAGACCCUAAAAUGUUUAUAUACUUUACAUGGUCAUAGUAUUCAACAGAGGCCAUUUCAAGAUGCUGAGAUGCCUAAGAAUGGACUGUUAUUGUACUUGAGAUUAUUUGAAAACCUUAAAAUGUAUAUAGAUUUUACAUGGUCAUAGUAUUCAACAGAGGUCAUUUCAAGAUGCUGAGAUGCUUGUGAAAUGACUUUAAACUUAUCAUAUUUGACAGAGAUCACUUUAAGAGCCUAAGAUGAAUAUGAUAGGUCUCUAUAGUUAUUGCAUUUGACAGGAGGACUAAAUUGUUAUCAUAUUCAGACCAUUAGAUGUUUGUCAAAGGCCUGUAUUGUUAUUGGAUUUGACAGAGAUCACUUUCAGACCCCAAGAUGUUUCCAAAAGGACCUUGAACUGUUAUCAUAUUCACCUAAGAUCAUUUUAAAACCUCAUGAUGAUUACUAAAGAACUCUAAACUGUUGUAUUCAAGUGAGAUAAUUUUAAGCCCAUUAGAUAACAUAAGGUCUAGUGUUGUAUUUGCUUGUCUAAGAUCACUUCAAGACCCCAACAUGUUCAUAAAAGGUCUCUACAGCAUCAUAAAAUUCAACAGAGUCCAUUAACCUCAGAUAUUUACCAAGACUACAUUGUUAUGGAGUUCAGUCUUUAAGGAGGUUUUGGUGUGGACAGUCUCAGUUGCCAUUCAGUAGAGAUUAGUUCAGUCUGUCAGAGGGACGUUACCCCCAAGAAGACAGGGUAGCGUGCAGUCUUUAUCGUCAAACUAGGGGUCUGCGUUUAGGUUAAGGUGUUGUGAUUUGAGUUCUUGGUGUGGACAGUCUUGGUUGUUGUUCAGUACAGUUUAGUUCAGUCUAUUACGAGGGAAGUUACCCACGAGAAGACAGGGGAGCGUGCAGUCUUCUAUCGUCAAACUAGGGGUGUGUCUUUACGAUAUGGUGUUGUCUUUAAUUUCUUGGUGUGGACAGUCUCAUUUGCCAUUCAGUAUAGUUUAGUUCAGUCCGUCAGAGGGAAGUUACCCCAAAGAAGACAGGGCAGCAUGCAGUCUUCUAUCGUCAAACUAGUGGUGUGUGUUUAGGUUACGGUGAGUUCUUGGUUGCCAUUCAGUACAGUUUGACUUAGUCCGUCAGAGGGAAGUUAACCCGAAAGAAGACAGGGCAGCAUGCAGUCUAUAUUGUCAAGUUAGAGGAGCGUGUUUAGGUGGCCCCCUUAGCCUGGCCUCUCAAACAUGAACAAGGGCUAUCAGGAUUUGUUUGCUGUGUGUGGAUGUCAUUCUAACCAUAACCCUUAGGAGUGGUGUAUAUGAACAGGCAAAAGACCCUAAGAUCGUUCCCCUUACAUUUCAAAUCAUAAAAACAACAAAACCAGCUAUCGCAUAACCUAUCUACCCUCCUCACAAGCCACCUCUCAAUAUCCAAAACCUUACAACUAAAGAUACACUACAGCUAUUAGUAAAGGAGCUAGGCUUAAAGGAAGGAGCGUCAGGUACUGCAUGUCACAGCUACGUUUGCAAGACUAACUAUGGCUAUGCUAGAGUGGGUGUGCACUGCUGGACACACAUGCAGGGAGGGAGGGUUGGCACAAGUCGAAAAGGUGCGCCCUCCUGUGGACUUACCUCACGCCACACCUCUAUGGGUUUAGUCACGCCUGGGUUCAGUUUCUAAGCUAAUACUGUUCUUCAUGGUGAGUUAGGAUGAGAACUGAUUCACGUCUCUGUUCACCCUCUAUGCUACAUUUUGACAUCGUAAAUUUACUGUUGUGUAAAUAAACUGUAAGGAUUGAUUCAGCUUCCUGUUCACUCUCUAAACUAAAACUCAAUUAAGAAGACAAGUUAGGGGCUUUGGUUCAAUUGACACUUCUGUUCAUCCUCCUAAACUACUGAUCGUCAAGGAAUAGAGUCUCAUUUAGGUCUUUGGGUCAUAUUGUAAAACACUUCGUCGCCCAAGAACACAUAUCUGACAAGGCUUUCGUAAGAGUAGUAGGCAUUCCCAGUAGUAGUUUUAUAGCCUUUGUGGUAGUUUGACCCUUCUUCUGUACCCUGAAUCUGAAGAAACA